rnacentral:lncRNA from 1 species
GACAGAGAGAAAUCACAAGUAGAUAGAGAGGCAGAGAGAGAGAGAGAGAGAGGGAAGCAGGCUCCCUGCCGAGCAGAGAGCCCGAUGCGGGACUCGAUCCCAGGACUCUGAGAUCAUGACCUGAGCCGAAGGCAGCGGCCCAACCCACUGAGCCACCCAGGCGCCCCCUGAUUGCUGUUUUUAUGAAAAGGUGAAAUUCAUACACAAGCACUCCUGGAGGGAAGGCAACAUGAAGAGGCUCAGGGAGAAGACAGCCAUCUACAAGCCAAGGCGAGAGGUCGGGAACACGUCCUUCCCCCACGAUUUGGAGUCAGAGCCCAGCAAAUCCUUGCUCUUGCAUUUCCUGCCUGUGUGACUUUGAGCAAGCCACUCAAACACUCUGAGCUUUGGUUUCACCAUCUACAAGAUCUGGGAAAAUGCUUAUCACAGUAAGAAUCGCAUGAGCUCAUGGAUUGUUAUGGGAAUGCGAGCAGAUGUUUUAAAAAUGCAAUAAAAUACUGCGCAGACCUCACAUGCUGUUUCUGUGACACCCGGUCCCGUGAAGAGAUGGAAAAUGAAGGCUCAAAGAAAUCCUAUAAGAUGACAGAAGUGACAGAGAUUGUAAACCGACAGAAUGGGAAUUCAAGCUUGGGGGGUGUUUUUCUCUUACUCUAA